GAUGAACGCUGGCGGCGUGCCUAAUACAUGCAAGUCGAGCGAACAGACGAGGAGCUUGCUUGUCUGAUGUUAGCGGCGGACGGGUGAGUAACACGUGUAUAACCUACCUAUAAGACUGGGAUAACUUCGGGAAACCGGAGCUAAUACCGGAUAAUAUUUUGAACCGCAUGGUUCAAUAGUGAAAGACGGUCUUGCUGUCACUUAUAGAUGGAUCCGCGCUGCAUUAUCUAGUUGGUAAGGUAACGGCUUACCAAGGCAACGAUGCAUAGCCGACCUGAGAGGGGGAUCGGCCACACUGGAACUGAGACAGGGUCCAUACUCCUACGGGAGGCAGCAGUCGGGAAUCUUCCGCAAUGGGCGAAAGCCUGACGGAGCAACGCCGCGUGAGUGAUGAAGGUCUUCGGAUCGUAAAACUCUGUUAUUAGGGAAGAACAUAUGUGUAAGUAACUGUGCACAUCUUGACGGUACCUAAUCAGAAAGCCACGGCUAACUACGUG
rnacentral:rRNA from 1 species